AUCGAGUCCUCCCAAGCACCAGCCCCUUGUUGAAGACCGUGUCCAAGGCUUCAUCUGCCUAUCACAGUUCACGUCUCUGGUUUCUCGCUAGCCUGUUCUGGUGCCCUGCUGCUGCUUGAAUUUCUCCAUCCUCCAAGACUGUCAAGAAUCUGACAGCUCUGCUAACGAAAGCUGCAGACCCUCGGUUCGGUUCCAUCGCCCUUUCUCUGGGCUGGUGUGUGAAGCUCCGGAUCUGUGACCUCACUAGAAUCAGUGUGCGCAAGAGGAUCAGCAAUGCAGGGCAAAGAUGACUGGUGAGACACACGUCUACACAAACGCAUACAGCUAUGAGGCGACAGUGUGGUGACAUGCCUCAUACAGACUGUCCCAGUAAGCCAGGACAAGUCACCAUUAAAAUCUUGCACGAACAGCCCUGGGCACGUGGGAAUGUAGUAAGUAAGUGCUGCUCCACCAAGCUGAGAAGAAAUGGCCCUUGGCUGUCCUCGGGGCCAGUGCUAGGAACUCUGGACCAGCCGUCUGUAGUGGGGCAUGACUUCGUGCUCGGGCAAGUGGAGGGCGAAUUCCAAGGCCACUAACACCGGGAAUUCAAAGGCAAUCAGUUCUCGCCUGUUCAGCCGGAACUUCUCUUCCAGUUUCUGCAACAAAAAGAAAAUCAAAAGCAUGUUCAUUUUGAAAUUAAAAUCCUAGUCUUUC
rnacentral:lncRNA from 1 species